UUUUUUUAUUUUUCCUGUCUUGACAAAUAAACUAAUUGACAUAUAAAUAAUUAACCAAAAACAUAAUCGGAAGACAUGAAUAAAAAAAAACCUAGAUUUCACCGGAGANGGAGAAGAAGAAUCAGCGACCACCACCACAUCCUCUCCACCUCCUGACCUGCUUCGAUCAGAGCAACAGCCCCACCCCGCUGCUUCUCCCUUUGUUCUUUGGUCUAGUCACUCAUCGGAGAUCGAUACCUCCUCCCCUCACUUUAUUUCUCUUCUGUUCCCAUCGAUCAAAGCCUAUGAAGAUUCGACUUCAUCGUUGAUUUCUUUGCCCCAUCGGAACCCCUCCUGCCCUCUAAUCGAACCUCUAGCACAUCUCCCCUUAUACGGUAGCCCAAAGCCUCCGAAACCCGGUGAAAAGCAGGGACCAAUGUUGGGAAAACGAGAGGGAGGAUAAAUCGCUGUAGACGUGAUCGACUAGGGUUUUUUUCCACAGAUUUUGACUACAUCCCAUAUUUAAAGGAAUAAUAAAGAACAUAUUAAUUAUCUACCAUAUUUAAAUAUGCCAAGAUUACUAUAAUACCCUUAAAUGAUUUAUUUAAUAAUUAAUUAUUUCCUGAAUUCUUAUUGGUGCACACAUGCACACAAUAGUUGUCAAAAACAUUUGAACCUAUAUAUAUAUAUAUAUAUAUAUAUAUAUAUAUAUAUAUAUAUAUAUAGAGAGAGAGAGAGAGAGAGGGUGUGUGUGUGUGNNNNNNNNNNNNNNNNNNNNNNNNNNNNNNNNNNNNNNNNNNNNNNNNNNNNNNNNNNNNNNNNNNNNNNNNNNNNNNNNNNNNNNNNNNNNNNNNNNNNNNNNNNNNNNNNNNNNNNNNNNNNNNNNNNNNNNNNNNNNNNNNNNNNNNNNNNNNNNNNNNNNNNNNNNNNNNNNNNNNNNNNNNNNNNNNNNNNNNNNNNNNNNNNNNNNNNNNNNNNNNUACAUAUUGACUUAUAAUAUAAAUACUAUUUUUAGAAAAUCCCUUUGCCUAGAUUUUUUUUAAAAAGCUUAAGAAAAUGAGGUGCAUGCAUCACUUUCUUAUAAAAUAAAAGAAUUUCUUAUAAAAUAAAAGAAUAAGAUAUAUUAAUAUUAUGUCAUCAUUUUAUUGUUUUUCAAUUUUAAAUUUAUCACAAAUAAAUUAACAAGAAAUGUUACUCAAUAAUUCAUGAUAUAAUUCCAUAAAAAUAAUAUUCCGUUUCCAAGAUGCUAUAAACAAAGGAUUUUCGAAAACCUAAUCAAGUUAGAUACUUUAAAUUAAUAGAUGUAAAAAUUAUGUAAAAAAAUAUUUGUUUGUACCAUUAAUCAUUGUUAUUCUUAUAAUAUCUAUUUUGUUUUAUUAAUGUCAACCAACCUUGUAAUACAUGAAUUAUCAUCUAGUUAAGUAUAUAUGAUUAACUAAAAUGAUUACAAUGAUAUUUUUUUUAAAAACUUUUUACCACAAAAUAUCUACAGUACCAAAAAAAAAGUCCCAUAUAGCCCAAUAUUUGUAAUGACCAGCUGCUAUAAAGUCUAUCACGCUAUCCAGGAUUUGCCAGUUACCAGGGCCGGUUUAGAGCAGGUGCCAUAUGGGCAAUGGAACAGGGCCCAAAAAUUUAAGGGGCCCAAUUUUUUUGUUUUAUAGUAUAUCAGUGAAUUCGUUAGGCACAAGCAAUCCAACACCAUUAGAAUUUCAGAAUCGGAAAUCAGGCGUGAAACUUAAAGCGAAUUAGCUCAGCAGCAAGCCAGCAAGCGAUCGAUCAUUGUUAUUUGUUCAAUUCAUCAUCGAUUAAUCUUUCUCGUUAAGUUGUUCUCCUUAAAAAAAUCAUUGCAGCAAUUGUGGAAUCACCGAAUCAGGGCAGGGAAAGUGGGAAACAAAAGGGGCAGUCAGCAGUGCAUCACAACAUCAACAAUCGCCCAUCAGGUUAGCAUCUUAGCGAGUAGCGACAUCGACAUAGGCUCACAGCGUGCAAUAAGCCAAUAAUCAACAAUCAUCCUCCAUUGAAUAUUGAUACAUCAGUUUCUAAUUCUAGGUUGUUAGGGUCAAUCACGAUUAGAGACUUAGAGUGUUAGACAAUCAGUUGAAAACUUAAAUGUAUUAUCAGCUUUUCAAAUUCUUGUGUAAUUGUUUAUUCGUUUAGAUAAACUAUUUAAUUUUCAGAUUCUUGAAAGUGAUUCAUGAAUUUUUAAUUGUUUAUUUGUUUAUCACUAUGACAUAUUGUCAUUAUGUCAUAUUAUCAUAUUGAAAUUGAUUGAAUGAUUCACAAUGUUAAAUGAAAUCAAUUUUUGAAAUAUAUUAUUAGAAUCAGAAAUUAAAUUAUGAGAUUACGUUUAUUGUAUAAAUGAAAUCAAUGAAUUGUUUAUUGUAUAAUUACUUAUCAAAUUAUGUUUAUUGUUUGUAAAAUUGUAGACAUGAAGUAUAAACAACCAUCCGGUAGUCAAAAACGUAAAAAAAGAAAACUAGAUGAAGAAAAGAGAAAGGCUGACGCCGGUGCUCUAGAUAAGUUUAUCCAUAGACAACCUAUUGAAGAACAUGUUGAAGAACAUAUUGAAGAGCACAUUGAAGAGCAUGUUGAAGAGCACAUUGAAGAGCAUGUUGAAGAGCAAGAGCAUAUAGAAGUAGAAGAGGCAGAAGAACAAGAGCCCGUUAAAGAGUUUGUUGAUAUAUAUGAUCCAAGAAGAUGGGAAAAACUUAAUUCUGAGGAGAUUAAACUUUUGGUCCAGAAAGGCCCUAAAAGAGAUAAUAGUAUUAUGUAUGGUCCCUACGAUAAAUUUGGUAGACGGUUUUCUGCAGCUUUAUAUACAAGAACUUUACCAAAUUUGGAGAAGUGUGAUAGAGAAUGGCUAGUAUAUUCAAAAGAGCUUGACAAAGUAUUUUGUUUCUGUUGUAAAGUGUUUAGAAAAGGGAUUUCAAAAGGUAAAUUGGAUGGUGAUGGUUAUGCAGAUUGGCACCAUGUCACCACUAGGGUUAAAGAACACGAAAUUUCAUUGGAUCAUCUUACAAAUAGGAAUAAGUGGUUUGAUAUGCGUAAAAGACUGAACCUAAAUGAAAUAAUUGAUAAAGUUCAAUAUGAGCAAUUCAAGAAAGAAAGAGAUUACUGGAAACAAGUCCUUUUGAGAAUCAUUGCAGUAGUGAAAUUUCUUGCUAAACAUAAUUUAGCAUUUCGUGGAUCCAAUGAAAAGUUGUAUAAAAAAGGUAACUAUAAAUUGUAAUUUUUUUGUUCUAAUUCCAACAAAUACCUUUUUGUUAAUUAUUAUGACUGAUUUCACUUCUUAUUUGUUAAUUUUAUUUAAUAGGUAACGGAAAUUUUUUGGGUGUCAUUGAAAUGUUGGAAGAGUUUGACCCGGUUAUCAAAGAGCAUGUGCGGCGGAUCACAAGUGAUGGGCUUCAUGUGCAUUAUCUUGGCCACUUAAUCCAAAACGAACUAAUAUCUUUGCUAGCUCAAGAAAUUAAAAAAGAACUUAUCAAGAAGAUAAAGGAAGCAAAGUACUACUCAAUCAUACUUGAUUGUACUCCCGAUUCAAGUCACCAGGAACAGAUGACUAUAAUAGUGAGGUAUUUGACGUUAUCAUAUAACUCUGUUACUGUUGAGGAGUCCUUUUUAGGUUUUUUGAAUGUUGAUGAUACCUCUGGAAAAGGACUAUUUGAUAUUACACUUGAGGAGUUACAGUCUCUUGGUCUUGAAAUUGAUGAUAUGCGUGGUCAAGGCUAUGAUAAUGGAGCAAACAUGAAAGGAAAACACCAAGGGGUGCAAAAGAGAUUUUUAGAUAUAAAUCCUAGAGCAUUUUACACUCCUUGUGGUUGCCAUUCUCUUAAUCUUACAUUAUGUGAUAUGGCUAAAAAGUGUGUUAAAGGAAAGAACUUUUUUGGAUUCAUCCAACGCAUUUAUACUAUCUUUGCAAAUUCUACUAAGAGGUGGGAAAUUUUGAAAGAUAAUGUUAAAGCUUGGAGUCUUAAGUCAUUGUGUCAAACUCGUUGGGAAAGCCGGGUUGAGAGUGUAAAGGCUAUUAAACUUCAACUUGUGGAUGUACGGGAAGCUUUACUUCAAGUUGGAGAAAAAGAUAAUGAUGCUGCAAUUGCAAGUGAAGCAACUUCACUAGCAGAAAAAGAACUUGGUGACUUUGAAUUUUUGGUAUCAACUGUUAUUUGGUAUGAAGUACUAAACCAUGUGAAUAUUGUGAGUAAGAAGUUACAAUCAAAGGAUAUGCAUCUUGAUAAUGCUAUUACAGAAAUAAACAAAUUGAUUGGGUACUUCAAGAAUCAUAGAGAAACUGGUUUUUCAAAAGCGAUUGUUGAAGCUAAGGAGAUUACUAUUGAAAUGGGUAUUGAUCCAAUAUUUCCACAAAAGCGUUUGAUUGAAAGGAAAAGAAGGUUUGAUGAGAGUUCAACUAGCGAAGAAGUUUCAUUUACACCUGAAGAGAACUUUAGAGUCAAUUAUUUCUUAUUCAUUGUUGAUCAAGCUAUUUCUUCUCUUGAGACAAGAUUUGAACAAUUCAAAGAGUAUGACAGAGUAUUUGGUUUUUUAUUUCCACAUAAUUUGAGGGGAAUUGAAGAUAAAGAUCUAAAGUCGUAUUGUCAUCGUCUUGAAAAAGCACUCAAGUUUGAAGAAAGAUCGGAUAUUGAUGCCGAUGAACUUUAUACGGAGUUGAAAUUAUUUGAGACAUUGGAAACCAAUGAGUUUAGCAACCCUAUAGAUGUUUUGAAGUUUUUGAAAGAACUUGAUUAUUUCCCAAAUGCAAGCAUUGCAUAUAGAAUAUUGUUAACUAUUCCAGUAACGGUUACAUCUGCAGAAAGGAGUUUUUCAAAAUUGAAGUUUGUGAAAUCUUACUUA
rnacentral:lncRNA from 1 species